UACAGAGGUCUCAAGCGUUGUUCGGAUUCAUUGGGCGUAAAGGGUGUGUAGGUGGCGCCGUAAGUCGGGUGUGAAAUUUCGGAGCUUAACUCCGAAACUGCAUUCGAUACUGCGGUGCUUGAGGACUGGAGAGGAGACUGGAAUUCAUGGUGUAACAGUGAAAUGCGUAGAGAUCAUGAGGAAGACCAGUGGCGAAGGCGGGUCUCUGGACAGUUCCUGACACUGAGACACGAAGGCCAGGGGAGCAAACGGG
rnacentral:rRNA from 1 species